rnacentral:misc_RNA from 1 species
UUUCCGUAGGUGAACCUGCGGAAGGAUCAUUAAUGAGUUGUCAUGGGGUUCGAUGCUGGCAGCCAAUUUUUGGAUGCAUGUGCUUGCCCUAACAAUCAUCUUCCAAACACCUAUGCACAUUUUUGAGGGAGUCUUGAGUUGGUUGCCGCUCUUGGGUGAUUUUCUCACAUUCCCUUAAAUCAUUAUACGCUAUUAACAAUGUUGAACGUGCUCUGUGCCGCAAGGCUAUUAAUAUAAUACAACUUUUAACAACGGAUCUCUUGGCUCUC